rnacentral:lncRNA from 1 species
UAUGAAAACUAGAUGUUUUGUGUGGUUUUGUUUUGCUGCCCUCAUUGGGGAAUGUCAGCGUCGUGGCUGACACUGCUUUGUUGGGUUAAAGCUAUUGUCACCAUAUCUGUUUAUCCCUCACUGACUCUGAGAGGACAUGAUUCUUAGAGAUUUUAAAAAUAAAACAAUAUAAAGCCUGGCACACAAGUAACUUUAGCAUUAAUAAAUUUUAUUGCUUCUAAUUCUUUUAAAUUUGAGAGUAAUAUUUGUUUUCAAACAGCUAACAUUUUUUAAUAUACUAAGAGUAGAAAAAUAGUCUUGGCAGACACUGUAAUAGGUAAUUGGCUUUUCUCGCCAAGAUAGGUUUAUAAAACUUUCUGAAAAUAAAGAAAUAGAGGGAAAAUAUUUUUUCUUUUUUACUAAUGACAUAUUAACCCUUUGUUGUAGGUUAUAGAAUGUCUUCAUUUAGCAUUCUUUUGUUAGAUAAACAGCUCAAAAAAAGAAUAGUUUAUUUCUUGUAAACACUCAGAUUGUUGAAAGAACUAUUUUGAUUUAAAAUCCUGUGUAGAGAUGAGAUUUUUCUAAAAUUCAGAAAUAAUUUUAAGAAAGACAUAAUAGUAACUAUGUAACUGACUUUUGGACCUGGGAUUUGUAAUAGCAAACUUUGAAUUAGUACUUAAAAAUAUUUGAUGAUAUCUCACGGUCUUUAAUUGGUUUGAACUUUGAUAUUCUUAUUAGUACUCAUAUAAAAACAAGUUUGCAUGAUCCAACAUCUACAUCUUAGACCUUGCACUCUGUCUACGCUGCAACAGUGAGGCUAAUGGGAAGGAGUCCAUAUCUGACUCAGAAGAAGCAGGCUCAUUGCAGGCUUGAAUAGGGUGGCAAGACCAACCAGGACUCCAAGCUUGUGGGAAGGGAGAGAAAAGCUUUGCCCUUCUCUGUUCGGCUGCUGGGUUUGUACUGAAAACUGUAAAGUUAAACUUUUUGGAAUCGUUACUAUCCCAAGUGGGAAUAUAAACUAUAUUGAACAAAAUUUAUUUAGCUUGUUAAAAAGUCAACAUAAAACUGUGGUUAAUUAGUUUAUAUUAUUACAUCACUUAUAGUAGAGGCUCAAACUAGUACCCAGUAAGAGGAGCUGCCUCAGGUGAGCUGCCCGAUGUUUGUAUGGGGCUUUAAGAUAAUGAUGAGUUUAAAUUCCCUCUUAGAGCUAAGUGAGAAUAAAACUAGAGGCAAUAAAUAUUCUUGGCCAGGGCCAUUAAAUGAAAAAGCUGGGAAUUCUCCAGCUCUUGACUUAAAUUGUUUGUUUAUCAGCUGGCGCCUAGUCUGGAGUCAAGAGCUGGAGAUGUCUAUCUGUGACAGAACUUUGAAACUCUUGCAGGACACUUUCAUUUCAGCUGAAGGUAACUUGAGUUUAUAGCUUUGGCUUUAAAGAUUACUAAUGAUUUACUCAUUUCCUUACUAUUUAACCAGAGUGGACUUUUUCCCAGGAAGGGAUCUGUGUUUAUUUAGGGCUUUUGUCUGCGGAGGGAUUAAAAGGCAGCCCACCAGCAUUGUGAACUUGAUGGUAAUAAAAGGUCACCAAAACACACCAUAAAAACAUUCUUACCAUGGAAUUAAUUAUACAGUGUAAUUUUACAAAGCAACUUGGUUACCCCAGCCUUAUCCCCCUUCCUAAACAUUCUCUUAUUUGAAAUGAAAACUUAAGUACAAAAUUGCUUUGUGAAAAAAUGUAUUGCUGCUUUUAUAAUUUAAAGACUGAGGAAACCAUCAUGUGCAUACAUGCAGUUAAUUGCUUAGAGGCUUUAAAGUUUCUAAAUACAUACGAUUUUUCAACGGUAGAAUAAAAAUUCAUUUGGGAGGACGGUAGAAUAGUUGAAAGAUGUAGUUGAUAUUUCAAGGAAUGCACGACUUCUGAACACAUAUGCCCUGCUAAGAGUUUAUCUGUGCCACCAGGGGGCAUUGCAUGCAAACCUGCUUGUGAGAAAGGGAGGGUUUAAGAUAUUUUUUGUUUGAGAAGAUGUAAGACAUUUCCUAGAUUUUUGCUUUUGAAGUUGGCUUAAAAAUACAUCUGAUAGUAAGCUAAUUAAGUGUCCACAGAGAGUUGAAAAGACUUCUGAGGGUUACAGAUAAUUUAUUUUUAGGUUGAUUCUGAAAGUAAAUCAAAGUGGACAUUUACAGAGAUUACCUUUUUUAAAGAAAAUAAGAUGAAUAUGAUGUUUGUUGCUGUUAGUGAUGUUAAACUGUUCUAAGAAGAAGGGAUCCUGCUUGUAAAAAUCCUCGAAAAUAUUUCAAACCCCCCUAGUGCUGCAAAUUAACCCACACCGUCAUGCACACAUGUGCACACACACACACCACUACACCACACCACACCUGUUAGAAAUGUUUGUUGGCAGGCUGUACUGAUGAGCCUUUUUGAGAAUACGGAGAGACCUUUUUGAAAGCUGCAGGUUGGCCCUUACACAAGCCUGACUGUGGGACUCAUUAGGCAGUUCAUGCUCAUGUCUUAAAAGCUGUUUUAGGAAAAUAAGUUCUUAAGUUUCCUGUACUGGCUUUCAACGAAUCUUUAUAGCUUUUUUGAAUUAGCUCAUUUUAAAAAGGUGAUAAUAUAAAACAAAAAAGCACCUCAUUAUAAAUUUUAUAAAAGUGAUAUGUUUUCAUUAAACUGAAUACCAUGUUGUAUUUUUAUGAGCCAUUAAGUAUAAAUUAAUAAAUGGUACCAAAACCAAUUGAAUUAUUUAAUACAAAUGUCUAGUUGGAAGAAAUGCAGUUCCCUGUACAUUAUCUUGAUUUUUGUACUUUAAAAAUGUAUUCUUGCCAUGUAGAGGUGGCUAGUACUUAGCUUUGCUCUCUGCUUUAUGAAGUUUACUUACUGUAUGCACUUGCCUUUUCUCGGAGGCUUCUUGCUGUGUGAAGCCUAGCCACUGUGAUGCUGCCGUUUAGCAACAAAGUAAAACCUUUCCCUCUCACACGGUAAAUUAUUAAAGCUCUUUCCUCUACUGUUGACUCUUUCUUAUAUUGUGAAUUAUUUGGUUAGCAUGUGAGUUGCACUAAAAGUAAUUCUAUUCCAUAUUGUUAGAGAUUUUCUUUGCAUUAAAAUAACUUCACAUUUGACAUUUGACCUGCAUAUUUUACUUUUUAACUUGAUACAACAGUCUGCUUCUUGGCUUUGUUGUAUGCUAAUAUUUCUACUUAUUUUACAUCAGAAGCUGCUGUGGUUUUUCUGUAGUUCUAUAAUUGUCUCUGCUGGCCAUGAAUUGUAUCUUAGCUUGUCAGAAUUUCUUACCCAGGCUUUUGUGAGCUUUGUAGCCAACAUUUUCAAAAAGUCACAUUUGACACAGUAAACUGGGUUAACAAAAAAUGUACUUAUAAUGAUAUAUAUAUAUAUGUGUGUGUGUGUGUGUGUAUAUGUAUGUAUAAAAUGCCUAUAAUUGAAGCAGGCUUCAUGGCUUAUCACAUCAGCUUUAUGUAUUAAAAGCAAGUAAAUGCAAAUCUCAUGUAAUAAAAAAUGAUUGUCACCAAUGACUAUAUUUUUCUAGUUAUUUCUAUUGAAUUAACUGUUUCAAUGAAAUUCUAGAAAUUAAUUUUUUUCAUUAAUAAUAGUGAUGGGGAGAAAUCCUUACUCAUUAUAUAUGUGAUAUUUUUUAAUGAAGCAUAUAGAUUUUUGUCUGCUCUUGUUUUACUUGGAAAUAGUUGACCUGAGCAAAUGUUACCAUGGGGAUAUCCAUUUAGAUAUAAAAGAGAAGACUGCGUAAUGUUGGAGGAGGGG